CAUGUUCAACGGCCGCGGUAUCCUAACCGUGCGAAGGUAGCGUAAUCACUUGUUCUUUAAAUGGGGACUAGUAUGAAUGGCACCACGAGGGUUAUACUGUCUCCCUUUUUUAAUCAGUGAAACUAACCCCCCCGUGAAGAAGCGGGGAUAUAAAUAUAAGACGAGAAGACCCUAUGGAGCUUUAAAUUUCAAUUCAAAUGCUAUCUAACCCUAAAAAGUUUCAACUUUUUCCCCCCCCCCCAAACUUAGCAUAAUGAAAUAGAAUUUUAGGUUGGGGUGACCGCGGAGCACAAAACAACCUCCACAUUGAACUAGGCCUAUCACCUUGAGCAAUGAACUACAAUCCUAUGCACAAAAAAAUUUACAUUCAUUGACCCAAUUUUUUUGAUCAACGAACCAAGUUACCCUAGGGAUAACAGCGCAAUCCUCUUCAAGAGCUCCUAUCGCCAAGAGGGUUUACGACCUCGAUGUUGGAUCAGGGUAUCCCAG
rnacentral:rRNA from 1 species